rnacentral:rRNA from 1 species
AUCUGGGCGGCGGAAUUCACAAUGGCCGGCGUGCUCUCGCGGUGCGUCGGUCGUUUGAUAUUUCCGUCGCCGAUUUCGCAGACGUCGCGACCUGUUCGCGGUCGGUCCCUGCUCGGAGGAGCCGCGUUCGAGCUCGUUGUGUGCGCGUUUCGGCGUGUCACACGGCGAAGGCGCGGAUCUCUGGCUGGCCGUCGGACAGUAUGCUUAACGGUGUCCGGUGUCGUCGUCUCGUACGCGCGGCGCCGGUACCGGUCAGCGACGAAUUCUUCGGGCCUCUUUCCGACCCGUCUUGAAACACGGACCAAGGAGUCUAACAUGCGCGCGAGUCGCGGGGUAUCGAGCGUACUUCGGUGCGUUCGUUAUGUUGCGAAACCCGUACAUGUCGAAGGCGUAAUGAAAGUGAAUGGGGAAGAUGGUGUUCCGAGUUCACGUUCCGCGAUCGCUGGUAUCGCGGCCGGACACCCGCACUCCCGGGGCGUCUCAACGGCCCGUCGCUGAUGCGGACAGUCGUCUCUCGGGGCGGCUGUCGGUCGGCGACGAACCGA